CCACACCUACACGCAAAAUCCUUCUUCUCUCUCAUCGCUCUUUCCCCUUUCUCCUAUCAUUAGAUCUUCCUCUUCUCCACCUCCUUCUUCUCCUUUCAAUUUCCAUAAAAUCCGCCUGCCAUCAUCAGCGUGAUUUCCUCCAAGCCCAACUUUCAGUCAAAGACAAAGAAAGGUAAGAUCUGUGAAAUCUUUUUUCACCUUCUCCUUGUUGGCCUCAUAAAUGCCUUUGAUUUCAGUUCAAAUCAAAAAUUUUAAAUUUGGAUUUUGCCUAUAAAUAACAAGGUUUUUCGUGCUCCAAAGAGGGACACACAUAGACAGAGAAGAGAAUUCACAUCCAAAUACACACAGGCAGACUCACGAAUCUUUAGUUUUACUACUUUCCUUUUGUCUUCUCUGAUUUUUGAGUUUUGAGUUGGAAUCUUUGAAAACAAUAUCAACAACCUUAGUUUGCUGCACCACAGAAGUGCUAUUCUGUUUGAUCAUAUUACUUAUGAUGUAGAUAGAGUAUUGAUCCUUAUCUUUUUCUCUUCUUAUGUUUCAUGUGUAUCCGGAGGACUGGAAUUUCAAUUCGAAAUUCAUUUUGGUCCUAAAUAUUAGGUCAACAGCUAUUAGGAUCAGAGCUCGGAGUUUUGUAUAUAUGACAUACCUUGUAUUUUCAAUAUUUUCUCAAAACUAAUGAAAACUUUUCUUGUUAAUAUUUUCUAAAGAGAACAAAAAUGAAUAAAUAUCCCUAAAUUAUUUUUCUAAACUAAAUUUAAGGACUAUCUUCGGAUAGACCCUGAGUGAUGCUUAACACCUUCCCCUCGAGUAAUCAAAACCCUUACCUAGAAUCUCAUCGAUUUCGCAAAUCAAAACAGAGUUUACAUUUAUAUUUUUUUAAAAUGGUUUUCCUAAUAUUUUUCCUUAAAAUUAGGUGGCGAUUCUAAACAUUUUCAAAAUCAGAGGCAUAGCCACUUUUAUGUUGUGAACUAUUUCGACCUGUUCGAAAAUAGGGUGCGACAGUUGAUGAUGCUAAGAAGUUUGAAAAAGAUAAUAGAACUGUGAGAGGACAUUUGUUAAAUUAUAUGAUUAAUCCUUUAUAUAACUUAUUUGUGACUUAUAAAUAUGCUAUGGAAGUAUGGAAUAAUUUGAAAAAGAAAUAUGGUGCUAACGAUGCAGGAAAGAUAGAAAUAUGUUGUUGGUCAGUAGAUUAAAUUUCAGAUGAUUGAUAAUAAGCCAAUCAUGGAACAAGUUCAUGAAAAGAACUUGAAUGUUGAUGUUCUUAACGACAUGAAGAUGUGUGACAUAUUUCAUGGUAAUGUUCUGCUUGAAAGAUUUCCACCAUCUUGGACUGAUUAUAGAAAUCAAUUAAAACAUAAAAAAAUUGGGAAUGGACUAGGGUUAUGAACUUAUAAUCUGAUGAUCGAGUCGAUUCCAUGAUUAUAAGUUCAUUCCAUACCAGAACAGACCUUAACUUUGUAAGAACUUAUUAGUCACAUUAGGAAUGAAGAGGCGAACUAUCUCAAAGAUAAGAUGGAAGCUCUUUCUCUUAAUUUUCUAAAGCUAAUCUUGAGGAAUCUUCUGGUAAUAUUGUGAAAAACAGGUUCAAAGGCAAACAAAAGAAAGUCUUGAAAAAAGAAUAUGUGAAGAAGAAAAAUUAUUUUAACAAGUCAGAGAGUCAAAUUCAAAAAUCUAAGGGAUCUUGUUUUGUCUGUGGAAAACUUGGUCACAGGCUGCCCAGUGCCAUCAAAGAAAAGGGCAAAACUUGAAGCGGGAAGGACAAACUGUUGUCCAAGUUCAUCUUGCUGAGGGUGAUGAAGUGCUUGUUACUGUAGUCGUUGAGGCAAAUCUAGUGGCUAACAAGACUGAUUGACCCCUAAACACAAGCGCUUCAAGGAAUUUUUGUGCCAAUAAGAAGUUAUUCCAUUACUUUGAGGAGUCCACUCAUAGCGAGUGUGUAUACACGUGUAACUCAACUACUGCUUUAGUAAUGGGUAAAGAAAAAGUUUUACUUAAAUUAACUUCUGAAAAAACUUUAGCCUUGAACAAUGUUCCGUAAGUUCCCUCCCUCAGUAGGAACUUAGUUUUCGGAGCACUUCUCAACAAAGUAUGGCUUAAAUUGUUUUUGAAGCUGAUAAAAUAAUUAUUUCUCAUGGAGGAGACUUUGUUGCGAAGAGAUAUAUUAGUGGAGUCUUAUUUGUAUUGAACAUUGUUCAAGAGACUGUAAAUAAUGCAAGUAUUUCAAA